rnacentral:rRNA from 1 species
GACGAACGCUGGCGGCGUGCUUAACACAUGCAAGUCGAACGGAAAGGCCCUGCUUUUGUGGUGUGCUCGAGUGGCAAACGGGUGAAUAACACGUGAGUUACCUGCCCUUGACUUUGGUAUACCUUCAGGAAUCUGUGUCUAAUCCGGUAUAGGCCCUCCUUCUUCUGGUUGUUGGUUGGAAUGUUUCGUCGGUUGGGAAUGGACUGCCGGCUUAUUUGCUUGUUGGUGGGUUAGUGGCUUACCAAGCCUUGGGCGGGUGGCCGGCCAGGGUGGGUGACCGGCAAAAUGGGGACUGAGAUACGGCCAAGACUCCUCGGGGAGGAAGAAGUGGGGAAUAUUGAAAAAUGGGCGGAAGCCUGAGGCAGCAAGGCCGCGGGCGGGAUGACGGCCUUCGGGUUGUAAACCGCUUCCGCAGGUGACGAAGCGUGAGUGACGGUAAUGGGUAAAGAAGCACCGGCUAACUACGUG